rnacentral:rRNA from 1 species
UACGAGUGGUGCAGGCAUUAUUCGGAAUCAUUGGGCGUAAAGGGUGCGUAGGCGGCGCGGUAAGUCGGGUGUGAAAUCUCGGAGCUUAACUCCGAAACUGCAUUCGAUACUGCCGUGCUUGAGGACUGGAGAGGAGACUGGAAUUUACGGUGUAGCGGUGAAAUGCGUAGAUAUCGUAAGGAAGACCAGUGGCGAAGGCGGGUCUCUGGACAGUUCCUGACGCUGAGGCACGAAGGUCAGGGGAGCAAACGGG